rnacentral:rRNA from 1 species
UACGUAGGUGGCAAGCGUUGUUCGGAAUUAUUGGGCGUAAAGGGUGAGUAGGCGGUGAUGUAAGACAGGUGUGAAAUCCCCGGGCUUAACCUGGGAACUGCAUUUGUGACUGCAUCGCUGGAGUGCGGCAGAGGGGGAUGGAAUUCCGCGUGUAGCAGUGAAAUGCGUAGAUAUGCGGAGGAACACCGAUGGCGAAGGCAAUCCCCUGGGCCUGCACUGACGCUCAUGCACGAAAGCGUGGGGAGCAAACAGG